rnacentral:rRNA from 1 species
UACGUAGGGGGCAAGCGUUGUCCGGAAUCAUUGGGCGUAAAGCGCGUGUAGGCGGCCCGGUAAGUCCGCUGUGAAAGUCCAGGGCUCAACCCUGGGAUGCCGGUGGAUACUGUCGGACUAGAGUACGGAAGAGGCGAGUGGAAUUCCCGGUGUAGCGGUGAAAUGCGCAGAUAUCGGGAGGAACACCAAUUGCGAAGGCAGCUCGCUGGGACGUCACUGACGCUGAGACGCGAAAGCGUGGGGAGCAAACAGG